rnacentral:lncRNA from 1 species
AUACCCGUAGAGGCCGGACGUUUGAACGGCUUCAAGCGAACCCUCUUCCUAAAACCACGAAUUCAGAUUCGCGGUGAUCAUCUACCCGCGCAAGGUGAAGAUUUGAUCUUCCUAUUAGUUUUAAAAGGUUUUAAUUCUUACCUAAUUACGAAAGGUCUCGAAACAACGUUCAUGAGAUGAACGUCGAACUCGUGCAUGCCGAUU